rnacentral:rRNA from 1 species
AUGAACACUCUGAACUAAUCCUAGCCCUAAUACAGACAAACAUAAUUAUACUACUCAAUAAACUAAAACAUUCAUUCUACAAAAGUAUUGGAGAAAGAAAUUUACAUUCUAGGAGCUAUAGAACUAGUACCGUAAGGAAAGAUGAAAGAUUAAUUAAAAGUAUAAAUAAGCAAAGAUUAAACCUUGUACCUUUUGCAUAAUGAAUUAACUAGAAAUCUUCUAACUAAAAGAAUUAUAGCUAGAAA